GUGCCAGCCGCCGCGGUAAUACGGAGGGUGCGAGCGUUGUUCGGAAUUAUUGGGCGUAAAGCGCACGUAGGCGGCCUGGUAAGUCUCACUGUGAAAGCCCGGGGCUCAACCCCGGGAGGCCAGGGGAUACUGCAAGGCUGGAGACAGGUAGAGGCUGGUAGAAUUCCGGGUGUAGCGGUGGAAUGCGUAGAGAUCCGGAGGAAUACCUGAGGCGAAGGCGGCCAGCUGGGCCUGAUCUGACGCUGAGGUGCGAAAGCGUGGGGAGCGAACAGGAUUAGAAACCCGCGUAGUCC
rnacentral:rRNA from 1 species